rnacentral:rRNA from 1 species
CCCUUAGAUGUUCUGGGCCGCACGCGUGCUACACUGAGUGGAUCAGCGUGGCUUUCUCCCUGACCCGAAAGGGUUGGGAAACCCGUUGAAUCUCCUUCGUGAUAGGGAUUGGGGCUUGAAAUUGUUCCCCAUGAACGAGGAAUUCCCAGUAAGCGCGAGUCAUAAGCUCGCGUUGAUUACGUCCCUGCCCUUUGUACACACCGCCCGUCGCUACUACCGAUUGAACGGUUUAGUGAGGGCCUCGGAUUGGUCUCGGCCCGCUCUUUACCGGGCGGCGCCGUUGGUCGAGAAGACGCUCGAACUUGAUCGUUUAGAGGAAGUAAAAGUCGUAACA